rnacentral:rRNA from 1 species
CCUACGGGACGCAGCAGUGGGGAAUAUUGCACAAUGGGGGAAACCCUGAUGCAGCGACGCCGCGUGAGUGAAGAAGUAUUUCGGUAUGUAAAGCUCUAUCAGCAGGGAAGAAGAAAGACGGUACCUGACUCAGCAGCCCCGGCUACCUACGUGCCAGCAGCCGCGGUAAUACGUAGGGGGCAAGCGUUAUCCGGAUUUACUGGGUGUAAAGGGCGCGUAGACGGCUGUGCAAGUCUGAAGUGAAAGCCCAGGGCUCAACCCUGGGACUGCUUUGGAAACUGGGGAGCUAGAGUGCUGGAGAGGUAAGUGGAAUUCCUAGUGUAGCGGUGAAAUGCGUAGAUAUUAGGAGGAACACCAGUGGCGAAGGCGGCUUACUGGACAGUAACUGACGUUGAGGCUCGAAAGCGUGGGGAGCAAACAGGAUUAGAUACCCCAGUAGUC